rnacentral:rRNA from 1 species
UACGUAGGGCGCGAGCGUUGUCCGGAAUUAUUGGGCGUAAAGAGCUCGUAGGCGGCCUGUUGCGUCCGCUGUGAAAUCCCAGGGCUUAACCCUGGGCGUGCAGUGGAUACGGGCAGGCUGGAGGCAGGCAGGGGGGAACGGAAUCCCCGGUGUAGCAGUGAAAUGCGUAGAGAUCGGGAGGAACACCAGUGGCGAAGGCGGCCUUCUGGACCAAUACUGACGCUCAUGCACGAAAGCGUGGGGAGCAAACAGG